GGAAAUCAUUCAGUAGAAAAGUAUGUGGGAGAAAGAGAAUCGGAUGAGAAAGAUUUACCCGAAGCUAUUGUUGGAGUGUAGAUGAUUUAGUUGGUUGCUGGAAUUUCGGGGACGAAAUUCUAUAAGGAGGGGAGAUUGUCACAGCCCGUCCCGGAAUUUUUAAUUCCGAGGACGUGAAAUUACAAAAACGCCCUUAAACGGGAUUAAGGUACGUAAUUUUGGUGUUUGUUUUACCUAAAAUUUCUAAGCUAUUGUUGUGUUGGACUUUAGGUAGGGUCCUAUACCCUAAUUUCCUCCCCAUUUUCCGUAACCUUUCCUUCUCUCUCUUCUUCUUCCAUUUCAGAUUUUCACUCUCUCUCUCUUACUCUCUAACAUACGGACUCACACACAAACCACAAUCAAAUCUCCACGAACGUCCAAGUUAAGACCACCAUUGCAACCCUGAGGACUUCACGAUCACGUAGGUACCAUUUUCAGGUAAGUUUCAUUUCGAAAAACCCUAGUUUCUAAAGUUGCCGUGAAUGUGUACUGUUCAUGAGCUUUGAAUUGGUUGUGUUUUAGGCCAAACCAAGCUCAUAGUGAGCUUUAGGAUGUCCCAAGGAAGCUCGGAGUGCUUCGUUGGAAGUUUUCGGACGUAAGAACACGGAGAUCGACAAGUUCAAAGUUUGGCCGGAGCUUUCGAGGCGUUUUCCGGAGAAUCCCCGGCGAGUUAGGAGUCGAGAUAGGUAUCAAUCUCUUCUUCUCGUCAAGUACUACAACUUUCCUUUUGUUUCACUCAAUUUCAUUGAGUAUUGAAGAAGUUAUACUCAUUUGAAAAAUACCCAGUUUCCGGCGACCUCCGAGGCUUUCGAGGCAGUUUCCUGCCAAACCACGGCGAACUAAGUGUUGUGCAAGGUACCAUUCUCU
rnacentral:lncRNA from 1 species